UAAAUGUGUUCAUAAUUAAAGAGAAAAAGUAUGGUGUCCCAGUCAGGUCUAAAAUUAGUAAAUUAUAAUGUAUGAUGUGGAUUUCAAAAAAAUUAAAUCUUAAUUGCUCUUAUUGAAUGGAAUGGGUUUGAUCAUGAACAAAUUACAGAAGUCUUUUUUAUUUUUAUUUUUUUAAAUAAGUGAUUGUUUUGAGAAUCAAUUAUUUUUAACUAUUAUAAAUAUUUUUGAGAUGUGAAAAUGCAUUCAUGAAAUGAAGGGAUAGAAUGCUUUUCAUUUUAUAUUGAAAUAACAAUUCUUUCUAUGGUGAACUGAUCAGAUGUGUCCAAUGUCACUUAGAUGCCCACUGUUUUAGAUGGGCUAAAUUGCUGUAGAAAGGACGAUAGGAAUUUAGAUGUUCAUAAGUAUUCAAUGUUUUAUUAAAUUGAAAUUGCAAAAAAAAAAAUAUUGAAAACAAUCUAUGCAUGUUUAAAUUAUUGAAUUAAUUUUUCACAAGGUAUAUGAAAACCCUAGGGUAAAUUCACAGUGGAGAACUGGCAGAAGAUUUAAUUUCCAAAUCAAAAAAAAUUGAUACAUUUCUUUUAUUAAAAAUGUAGACUUCUCAUCACAACAUUUCAUUAAAUCUAGAUAAUGACGACUAUCAAAAUUUUAGGAAGCAAUCAACAUUACUGAUGGAGAUGAAAGAAGGAGAAAAUUUCAAGUCUGAGAUUGCAUUUGAUGAGAUUGAUAUGAUAAUGGUACAUGCACCAGAGCCAACUGUCAAACAGCACUCCAGCCAACAACAUUUCCCUCUUGUAUUCUUUGACUUGGAAUCAAAAGGACUAGCUAGAGAUUCUCAUAUUACACAGCUGUCAUGUGUGGUGAAGAAAAGUUUCCCACCUAUACCUUUCUAAAAAUACCUAUAACAGCAAAAGACUCAGAAAUAACAGAAAUCUAAAAUGUUAAUGGAAAUGUGUAUAGCAAAAAUUAAAAAUGUAGAACUCAAUCCUUGGAAAAUGGAUGCUCCUCUUGAUUUUGUUUCAAAAUUUCAAACUAGAGUAAUUCUGCAUUUGCAAUAGCAAUGUAUGAAUGUUAACAAAUAUGAAUGUUUAUUGUAUACUAUACUCAAUUUAACAUGUUCUGUUUAUGAGAGAGAGAGAGAGAGAGAGAGAGAGAGAGAGAGAGAGAGAGAGAGAGAGAGAGAGAGAGAGAGAGAGAGAGAGAGAGAGAAUUGCAAGAAUUGGAAAGUAACUGCAAAUAUUAUGUGCAAACUGCACCAGUAAUGAUGUACACGGUGGUGAUAUUGUUCUCUGAAUUUUGAUAUAAAUUAAUGUACAUGUACCAAAUGAAAUUAUAUCCUAUUAAAUUUCCAUUUUCAUUUCAAAUGAAAAUGAGUCAAUUUCAA